rnacentral:RNase_P_RNA from 1 species
GGGGCAGGCUGCACGGUCGCGGGAGGUGACUCUCGAGGAAAGUCCGGACACCGAAGGGCACGACGGUCGGUAACGCCGACCCGGGGAAACCCGCGGGAAAGUGGAACAGAGACAGACCGCCGAUGGCGCCCGACACGCGUGGGGCGUACAGGCAAGGGUGAAACGGUGCGGUAAGAGCGCACCAGCGCCGCGGUGACGCGGCGGCUGGCCAAACCCCGUCAGGUGCAAGCCCAAGCAGGAUCGACGACCCGGCCCGGCGAGAUCCAGGUAGGGCGCAUAGAUAGAUGGCCGCGCAAGACAGAAUCCGGCUUAUAGGCCUGCUACCGAG